AUUGAACGCUGGCGGCAUGCUUUACACAUGCAAGUCGAACGGUAGAGGGGCAACCCUUGAGAGUGGCGAACGGGUGAGUAAUGCAUCGGAACGUGCCCAGUAGUGGGGGAUAGCCCGGCGAAAGCCGGAUUAAUACCGCAUGAGACCUGAGGGUGAAAGCGGGGGAUCGCAAGACCUCGCGCUAUUGGAGCGGCCGAUGUCAGAUUAGCUAGUUGGUGGGGUAAAGGCCUACCAAGGCGACGAUCUGUAGCUGGUCUGAGAGGACGACCAGCCACACUGGGACUGAGACACGGCCCAGACUCCUCCGGGAGGCAGCAGUGGGGAAUUUUGGACAAUGGGCGCAAGCCUGAUCCAGCCAUACCGCGUGCGGGAAGAAGGCCUUCGGGUUGUAAACCGCUUUUGUCAGGGAAGAAAUCUUCUGGGCUAAUACCCUGGGAGGAUGACGGUACCUGAAGAAUAAGCACCGGCUAACUACGUGCCAGCAGCCGCCGUAAUAC
rnacentral:rRNA from 1 species